rnacentral:rRNA from 1 species
GAUCAUGGCUCAGGAUGAACGCUAGCGACAGGCUUAACACAUGCAAGUCGAGGGGCAGCAUGAGGUAGCAAUACCUUGAUGGCGACCGGCGCACGGGUGAGUAACGCGUAUGCAACCUGCCCUAUACAGGGGGAUAGCCCAUGGAAACGUGGAUUAAUAUCCCAUAGUAAUCAUGAUAGGCAUCUAUUUUGAUUUAAAUCUUCGGAGGUACAGGAUGGGCAUGCG